rnacentral:rRNA from 1 species
CCUACGGGAGGCAGCAGUGGGGAAUAUUGGGCAAUGGAGGAAACUCUGACCCAGCAACGCCGCGUGAAUGAUGAAGGUCUUCGGAUUGUAAAGUUCUUUUCUAAGGGAAGAAGAAAGUGACGGUACCUUAGGAAUAAGCCUCGGCUAACUACGUGCCAGCAGCCGCGGUAAUACGUAGGAGGCAAGCGUUAUCCGGAAGGACUGGGCGUAAAGGGUGCGUAGGUGGUUUGACAAGUUGGUAGCGUAACUCCGGGGCUUAACCUCGGCACUACUACCAAAACUGUUGGACUCGAGUGCAGGAGGGGCAAAUGGAAUUCCUGGUGUAGCGGUGGAAUGCGUAGAUAUUAGGAGGAACACCAGUGGCGAAGGCGACCUGCUAGAACAUAACUGACGCUGAUGCGCGAAAGCGUGGGGAGCGAACAGGAUUAGAUACCCGGGUAGUC